rnacentral:lncRNA from 7 species
AACAGGAUUCAUCCACACUUCAACCAAUCUGUUCUGCCUUCUGCUGAUCCCUGCAUUUUGCUCCAAUGCUCUAAAUGAAAGCCUUUCCCACAGUGACCAAAAUGACCACUUUGUAUACCACAUGAGUGAUGCUUUUAAUUUCUCUCUCUGCUACUUCAGACACGUAUUAGAAAAUAAAUGGUUAUAACCGUACACUUCUGGAAACAUAAAUAAGUGUGCCACUUCCACUGAGCACAUUCACAGCUUGUGCCAGAGAUGGAAAGACUGAUGUUGCCACAGUAGAAACAGAGGAAACUUACGGAGUGUUUUUUUUUAUCACCAGAAGGCAGAAAACUGCAACUACAUAACAGCUCUGAUUUUAAAAUUCACAUCAUUUUAUGUGAGGAUAUUUUCUAUACCUAGACCAAAUAUCACCUUUAAAUGAAUGCUUUAAGCACAUGAAAUGUCACUGUAAUGUGUAAAUGUACAAUGAAAGAUCUUCAAAGAUUUUCACAGAUCCUAUUAGAAAAAGUGCUUACAUAUGAGUCAUUUCACUUUUCUGUUUUAUACUCUGUAGUCUAUCCUUCUUUCUAAUUGCACAUUUUGUUGGUCUAACUUAUUUGUGCUAGAUGAAUCAGAUCAAACCACAUAACAGUCACAGUAUAAGAAUCCAUUUUCUUGGCACCUGUGUGAUCUUUUUUCUCCUCUUCUUUGUAAAUCCCUGAUAUGUCCUUGACAAGAAAUGUCUUAUUCAAUACACAUAUACUUAGUCUGAAAGAUUUCUGAGAAAGGUUUUUAUUUUAAACUGGUUGAAUGGACUAAUUUCUCUGUCACUAAAACAGUAGUAUAGUGUAACAGCAUUGUGUGUAGGUGGCUCCAAAAGUAAUGUCUCCUAAUUAUUUCUGUGGAAACUACAACAGAUAAAAAGAGCACAAUAACACCAUAUGAUAGAGCAAAUUCUCAGCUACAGAACAGUAUCUUUCAACAUAAUCACCACCAUUAGCUAUGCAUUUUCACCAGGAGUGAACAAGAGCCUGCAUACUGUACUCAUGAAAAUUUGCAAAGUUAUCUGUGACUUCUCUUGUCUUUCAUGUUGCUGUUGCAAAUAUUGAAAUGAAUCACCCAUUGCCUCACUGUGUUUACAUCCACAGUUCGGUCUCCAUAAAUGUUCGCCAAGUGUUGAUGAAUGUCACUGGGUGAAAAUUAUUCUAGAGGGAGGAAUUGGAUCCCACACUUUGCUACAUAUGCACUUCCAUGUCAGAUACCAUUUUGUCAGCCUGCCCUUCUCUUCUCAUCUGUUACAUGGCAAGAAAAUGUAAUGGAGUAUUGGUGGGAAGGUUCAAAUCUACAGCUGUACCACCAGUAUCUGCCUCUGAAAUUAUGGGCCAUCACAAUAAAAUGAGAGGCAUUACUUUUGGAGCAGCCCUCAUAUUAAAAAUAAAUUAUUUUAUCUGGGACUGUACAACAUAUUCAAUAAUUUUCUUUGUUUUUUUUUAACAUAUACCUAACCGUUAACUGGGAACUACAGUAUAGGAGGUUCACCAGUACCUUCCAGGAAAGUAAAUUGUUUCUUCAUCAGUGUAGUUUCAGCCAUGUUCCCUCACACAUCUGUUUAAAUAUCUUGUUACAAUUUCUAAUUAUGAUUGCAAACAGAAUAAAUAAGUUUUGCACACCUGAGGAUUUUUAAAAUGAAAUAUGUGGUUAUUAGACAGUUUCAAGAGUAAUACAGAAAAAAAUGUAGAAAUCCAAUUGCAAAUGUUACCUACUGAGCUGCAAAACCACAUAUUUGCCAUUUAAUUGAAGGCGUGUCUAGACAAAAUAAUUCAAUCUGUUUUAAUAACAUUAUUCAGUGUGAUUAAGAAAAAGUAGAUAUUUAUAUUUUGAUUUCCGUGAGUAGUCUAACAUGACAUUCCAAUUUUAAUAUUUAUACUGCAGCAUAUCAUUAGCACAUGCCUUCAGUGCUUUAUGGAAACCUGAGUGACAGACC